GAUGAACGCUCGCGGCAGGCCUAAUACAUGCAAGUCGAACGGGAUCCAGAUCAAAGCUUGCUUUGGUCUGGUGAGAGUGGCGCACGGGUGCGUAACGCGUGAGCAACCUACCCUUGUCAGGGGGAUAGCCCGGCGAAAGUCGGAUUAAUACCGCAUGACAUCAUUGAGAGGCAUCUUUCGAUGAUCAAAGAUUUAUCGGACAAGGAUGGGCUCGCGUGACAUUAGCUAGUUGGUAAGGUAACGGCUUACCAAGGCUGCGAUGUCUAGGGGCUCUGAGAGGAGAAUCCCCCACACUGGUACUGAGACACGGACCAGACUCCUACGGGAGGCAGCAGUAAGGAAUAUUGGUCAAUGGACGGAAGUCUGAACCAGCCAUGCCGCGUGCAGGAGGACGGCCCUAUGGGUUGUAAACUGCUUUUAUACGGGAACAAACGUCGGUACGUGUACCGGUCUGAGUGUACCGUAAGAAUAAGGAUCGGCUAACUCCGUG
rnacentral:rRNA from 1 species